UACGUGAGGGGCAAGCGUUCUCGGAAUUAUUGGGCGUAAAGAGCGUGUAGGCGGUCCGGUAAGUCAGCUGUGAAAGUCAAGGGCUCAACCCUUGAAUGCCGGUUGAUACUGUCGGGCUAGAGUCCGGAAGAGGCGAGUGGAAUUCCCGGUGUAGCGGUGAAAUGCGCAGAUAUCGGGAGGAACACCAAUGGCGAAGGCAGCUCGCUGGGACGGUACUGACGCUGAGACGCGAAAGCGUGGGGAGCAAACAGG
rnacentral:rRNA from 1 species